UAGGGAAUCUUCGGCAAUGGACGGAAGUCUGACCGAGCAACGCCGCGUGAGUGAAGAAGGUUUUCGGAUCGUAAAGCUCUGUUGUAAGAGAAGAACGAGUGUGAGAGUGGAAAGUUCACACUGUGACGGUAUCUUACCAGAAAGGGACGGCUAACUACGUGCCAGCAGCCGCGGUAAUACGUAGGUCCCGAGCGUUGUCCAGAUUUAUUGGGCGUAAAGCGAGCGCAGGCGGUUAGAUAAGUCUGAAGUUAAAGGCUGUGGCUUAACCAUAGUACGCUUUGGAAACUGUUUAACUUGAGUGCAAGAGGGGAGAGUGGAAUUCCAUGUGUAGCGGUGAAAUGCGUAGAUAUAUGGAGGAACACCGGUGGCGAAAGCGGCUCUCUGGCUUGUAACUGACGCUGAGGCUCGAAAGCGUGGGGAGCAAACAGGAUUAGAUACCCUGGUAGUCCACGCCGUAAACGAUGAGUGCUAGGUGUUAGACCCUUUCCGGGGUUUAGUGCCGUAGCUAACGCAUUAAGCACUCCGCCUGGGGAGUACGACCGCAAGGUUG
rnacentral:rRNA from 1 species